rnacentral:rRNA from 1 species
GAUGAACGCUGGCGGCGUGCCUAAUACAUGCAAGUCGAGCGAACAGACGAGGAGCUUGCUCCUCUGACGUUAGCGGCGGACGGGUGAGUAACACGUGGAUAACCUACCUAUAAGACUGGGAUAACUUCGGGAAACCGGAGCUAGUACCGGAUAAUAUAUUGAACCGCAUGGUUCAAUAGUGAAAGACGGUUUUGCUGUCACUUAUAGAUGGAUCCGCGCCGCAUUAGCUAGUUGGUAAGGUAACGGCUUACCAAGGCAACGAUGCGUAGCCGACCUGAGAGGGUGGUCGGCCACACUGGAACGGAGACACGGUCCAGACUCCUACGGGAGGCAGCAGUAGGGAAUCUUCCGCAAUGGGCGAAAGCCUGACGGAGCAACGCCGCGUGAGUGAUGAAGGUCUUCGGAUCGUAAAACUCUGUUAUUAGGGAAGAACAAAUGUGUAAGUAACUAUGCACGUCUUGACGGUACCUAAUCAGAAAGCCACGGCUAACUACGUG